AGAGUUUGAUCAUGGCUCAGAGUGAACGCUGGCGGCGUGCUUAACACAUGCAAGUCGAACGAGAACGGGUCUAGCUUGCUAGACUGUCAGCUAAGUGGCGAACGGGUGAGUAAUAUAUAGCUAAUGUGCCCUCUACUAGGGGAUAACAGUUGGAAACGACUGCUAAUGCCCUAUACUCCUUCUUUACACAGGUAUAGUUGGGAAAGUUUUUUCGGUAGAGGAUCGGGCUAUAUGGUAUCAGCUUGUUGGUGAGGUAAGAGCUCACCAAGGCUAUGACGCCUAUCUGGUCUGAGAGGAUGAUCAGACACACUGGAACUGAGACACGGUCCAGACUCCUACGGGAGGCAGCAGUGGGGAAUAUUGCACAAUGGACGAAAGUCUGAUGCAGCAACGCCGCGUGGAGGAUGACACAUUUCGGUGCGUAAACUCCUUUUAUGUGAGAAGAUAAUGACGGUAUCACAUGAAUAAGCACCGGCUAACUCCGUGCCAGCAGCCGCGGUAAUACGGAGGGUGCAAGCGUUACUCGGAAUCACUGGGCGUAAAGCGCGCGCAGGCGGCUUUGUAAGUUGGAUGUGAAAUCCUAUGGCUCAACCAUAGAACUGCAUCCAAAACUACUUAGCUAGAGUCUGGGAGGGGAAGAUGGAAUUAGUUGUGUAGGGGUAAAAUCCGUAGAGAUAACUAGGAAUACCAAAAGCGAAGGCGAUCUUCUGGAACAGUACUGACGCUGAGGCGCGAAAGCGUGGGGAGCAAACAGGAUUAGAUACCCUAGUAGUCC
rnacentral:rRNA from 1 species